UACGGGGGGAGCAAGCGUUGUUCGGAUUUACUGGGCGUAAAGAGCUCGUAGGCGGUCUGUCGCGUCGGCUGUGAAAACCCGGGGCUCAACCCCGUGCCUGCAGUCGAUACGGGCAGACUAGAGUGCGGUAGGGGAGACUGGAAUUCCUGGUGUAGCGGUGAAAUGCGCAGAUAUCAGGAGGAACACCGGUGGCGAAGGCGGGUCUCUGGGCCGUAACUGACGCUGAGGAGCGAAAGCGUGGGGAGCGAACAGG
rnacentral:rRNA from 1 species